CAUAGGCGUGGGAAGCCAACCCGGGGAACUGAAACAUCUCAGUACCCGGAGGAAAAGAAAUCAACCGAGAUUCCCUCAGUAGCGGCGAGCGAACGGGGAAAAGCCUAAACCGUCUCUUCGGAGGCGGGGUUGCGGGACCUUCAUCACGAGUGAAUCAUCCUAGUCGAAGCGGUCUGGAAAGGCCCGGCACAGCAGGUAACACCCCUGUAGGCGAAAGGACGAGACAUCCAGAAGGGAUCCCAAGUACCGCGGGGCACGUGAAAUCCCGUGGGAAUCCGGGGGGACCACCCUCCAAGGCUAAAUACUCCUCAGCGACCGAUAGUGCACAAGUACCGUGAGGGAAAGGUGAAAAGCACCCCGGAAGGGGAGUGAAAUAGAACCUGAAACCGUAUGCUUACAAGCAGUCAAAGCCCGCAAGGGUGAUGGCGUGCCUUUUGUAGAAUGAACCGGCGAGUUGCGGUCACGAGCAAGGUUAAGGCGGUAAGCCGUAGCCGAAGCGAAAGCGAGUCUGAAUAGGGCGUCAAGUUCGUGGCUGCAGACCCGAAACCGGGUGAUCUACCCAUGUCCAGGGUGAAGCGGAGGUAAAACUUCGUGGAGGCCCGAACCGACCGACGUUGAAAAGUCGGCGGAUGAGGUGUGGGUAGGGGAGAAAUUCCAAUCGAACCCGGAGAUAGCUGGUUCUCCCCGAAAUAGCUUUAGGGCUAGCCUCGGGAUCAAGAAUGCGGGAGGUAAAGCGCUGAUAGGGCUAGGGGCCUUCACCGGUUACCGAACCCUGUCAAACUCAGAAUGCCCGCAUUUAUGCCCGGGAGUCAGACGGCGAGUGCUAAGAUCCGUCGUCAAGAGGGAAACAGCCCAGACCGACAGCUAAGGUCCCAAAGUGCCUGUUAAGUGGAAAACGAUGUGGAGUUGCCCAGACAACCAGGAUGUUGGCUUAGAAGCAGCCACCAUUGAAAGAGUGCGUAAUAGCUCACUGGUCGAGUGACUCUGCGCGGAAAAUGACACGGGGCUAAACAGGCCACCGAAGCUUCGGCAAGACGCAAGUCUUGGGUAGGGGAGCGUUCCUUGUGCAGCGAAGUUCAGCUGGAAGGCUGGGUGGAGCGCAAGGAAGUGAGAAUGCCGGUAUGAGUACGCGAAAAGGCAGGUGAGAAUCCUGCCCGCCGCAAGCCUAAGGUUUCCUGGGGAAGGCUCGUCCGCCCAGGGUAAGUCGGGACCUAAGCCGAGGCCGAAAGGCGUAGGUGAUGGACAACAGGUGGAGAUUCCUGUACCACGUUGGAUCGUUUGACCGAUGGGGGGACGCAGGAGGAUAAGUGAACCAUGCCGCUGGUCGAGCAUGGCCAAG
rnacentral:rRNA from 1 species